rnacentral:lncRNA from 1 species
CACAGGAACAGUUCAAUUGUAAGCUUGAAAUGGUUAACAGAACUAGACAGAUAAUGAGAUUUUAGAGUUGAUAUAAGCUAGAUAUUGUGAUUGUUUAUUGUCAUUAACCAAGACCUUCAUCAAUUGAUAUUGGGAGAAAUUACAGAAAUAGGUGGCUGGCAUUGAGGUGUUUGCUGUAGAAAACAACUGCAUCAACUAAGUCCAAAAUGAAGACACAGAAACUGACAGCUACAUUUUUUACCAUGGUGUUUUUAUGCUGGAAUAUCCAUGGAGUUCCGACCACAACUGCAGUUAACACAACUGAAGCUCCUACGACAACUGCAGCUCCUACGACAACUGCAGCUCCUACGACAACAACUGUAGCUCCUAUAACAAUAACUGCAGCUCCUACUACAACAACUGUAGCUCCUAUGACAAUAACUGUAGCUCCUACUACAACUGUAGCUCUUACAACCACUACAACUGCAGCACCUACUUCAACAACUACAACUGAAGCUCCUACGAUAACCACAACUGCAGCACCUGCUACGACAACUACAACUGAAGCUGCUACGACAACCACAACUUCAGCGCCUACAACGACAACUACAACGACAACUACAACACCUACUACGACAACUACAACACCAACUACGACAACCACAACACCUACUACGACAACCACAGCUGUAUCUCAUACGACAACAUCUGUAGCUCCUAUGACGACUACAACUGCAGCACCUACUUCAACAACCACUGCAGCUCUUACAACCACUACAUAUGCAGUUCCUACAACAACGACAACUGAAGCUCCUACGACAACCACAACCACAGCUCCAAAUACAAUAUCUGUAGCUCCUACGUCCACUACAACAGCAGCACCUACUACAACAACUACAAAUGCAGCUCCUACGACAACCACAACUGCAGCUCCUACUACAACUUUAGAUCCCACGACCAUUACAACAGAAGCACCCACUACGACCACUACAAACGCAGCUCUUACGACAACCGCAACUGAUACUCCUACUACAACUUUAGAUACUACGACCACUACAACAGCAGCACCUACAACGACAACUGUAGCUCCUACGACAACCACAACUGUAGCUCCAAGUACAACUGUAGCUCCUACCACCACAACUACACCACCUACUUCAACAACUACAACUGAAGCUCCUACGAUAACCACAACUGCAGCACCUGCUACGACAACUACAACUGAAGCUGC